CCCUCUUAUUGGUAUAAAAUUAUGAAUACACAUAAAAUAAAAUAAAGACAAAACAGACGUAUAAGUAUUUCAAUCUACCCAUGUAUAUACAUAUACAUGUGUAAUGUGCAAAUGUGUGCAAAGUAAUCCAAUGACAGUCACUGCUUUUUCCUUCCUUUCAAGGGUGGACAAUCUAGUAGCUGCUGCAGUCACAUUCAUAUUCCCAAUCAGAUCAACGCUCUUAUUUGUGGG
rnacentral:lncRNA from 1 species